UGAUUUUUUCUAUCCGCUUGAGCUACCACUACCUCAAGCAGAUGGGACCACUGUUUAACAUCUCACUUGAAGGAGGAUAUACUCAGGAGUGGAGCACCCCUUAUGCUGCACUGCAGUGUCAGCAAUCCAUCUACCUGGUAUGGGAACAGAACCCACUGCCUUCUGCACUAAAGAGAUCUUGCAUACACCAGGACCUCUGAACUCACCUUAUGCCAAUUUGAUGGAACAGCUUCUUGAAACAAGAAAUACUUAUUUUCUGGGAUGGAAAGGGGAAACCAGUGAAUUCAAAAUGUCCUACUAAUUCGGCAUUAAUGAUGGCCACAUGAGGAUUCCAGAAAAUAUCCCACUCUUGGAUGUUCUACUUUAAAAAGAUAUAUAAUUCUAAAUUGUUAUCAACUUGAUGUAAUAACUCUGAUAAUUGCAAAUCAAUCUGCUGGUAACAUAACUCCACUUCACUAUUGAUGAUGUCUGUAUAACUAUCUUUUCUUCAUAUUAAUUUAUCAGACAAUGAAUAUGUUGGCUCUUUUGCUAUAGUCUUUAUUAUGUCGUAUUGUUUAUCAUGCAAGGUGAUAUUUUUAUCAAAACAGGAAUAGUGUGAAUUACUUAUGCUUAUUAAGGUGCAUUAAUUGGUGUCCUUUACCAAAUUAAA